rnacentral:rRNA from 1 species
UACGUAGGGUGCGAGCGUUGUCCGGAAUUAUUGGGCGUAAAGAGCUCGUAGGCGGUUUGUCGCGUCUGCUGUGAAAUCCCGAGGCUCAACCUCGGGCCUGCAGUGGGUACGGGCAGACUGGAGUGCGGUAGGGGAGAGUGGAAUUCCUGGUGUAGCGGUGAAAUGCGCAGAUAUCAGGAAGAACACCUAUGGCGAAGGCAGCACUCUGGGACGGUACUGACGCUGAGACGCGAAAGCGUGGGGAGCGAACAGG